ACAGAAACUUAAGUGAUUUAGAGUGUGACUUUCAUGAACAGAAAUAGUCUCCAUAAUCUAAUCUCCAGAAUGCACUAAACCAGGAGAAGAUCCACCUGGAAUGGAAGAAUAUUAAGGAGAACAAGUCCUCAUCUCUCCAAAGACCCUUCAUCCUUCAUUUCACAAUAGUCUUUAUUGGUCUGCUGGAGUUUGCUGGAGGUCCACUCCAGACCCUGUUUGCCUGGGUAUCACCGGCAGAGGCUGCAGAGCAGCAAAGAUUGCUGCCUGCUCCUUCCUCUGGAAGCUUCAUCCCAAAGGGGCACCCGCCUGAUGCCAGCCAGAGCUCUCCUGUACGAGAGAUGCCCUGCCCAGUGAGGAGGAAUCUAGAGAAGCAGUCUGGCCAUAGCUUUGCUGCACUGCGCACUUCUCCUUGCUGCCGCCAUGUGAAGAAGAAUGUGUUUGCUUCCCCUUCCGCCAUGAUUGUCAUGACAUUUUGAGCACAAUUGUGUGUGGGAUGCAUUCAUCAAUAGAGCUGGAAGCACCAACCACCAUAGGAGAGGAAACUUUUAGUUACAAGCACAUGAAUAAAUAAAAUCAAACUCAACUGGAAUGACGUUCCUGAGGAUGGAGAUACAUUUUUUUGUUGACCCAUCUAAACUUGAACAGCAAGUGAUAAUCAGUCUCCAAUCAGAAAGUCCCAGGACUUAUAGGAGCAGAAAUCAGAAGACUUUACUCCACACACUUCAGGUGGACAUGUGGACAAAGCCAUCGGAGAACAUGACAAAAAUACAGCAAGAGCAGAGACAAGAUCAGAUCAUCCUGGGGGCAGAUGCUGGGCUCUGACCAAUUUGAGAGAGAAAAGGAAAAAGAACCCAGCUACAAGAUGCACAAGUAGCAGGCCACAGCCACCAACAUCAGCAGAGCAAUUGGAGGCCAGGAAGACAAGGACACUUCUGAAGAGACUGAAAAAAGCAGAAGACAGUCCAAGUCACUGCAAGGUUCCAAGGUCUCUUUUUUCAUUACUGUUACAAGUACCAAGUAAGCCAAAAUCCACCCUACUCUUCAAAACCAUCUUGAAGAGUUGCAGGUCAGGGUUGCUGCAUCUGAGCAUGUUUACUCACAAAAGGUGACAGAUGCUCCUCAACUUACAAUGAGAUUACAUCCUGAUAAAUGUGUCAUAAGUUGAAAGUAUCUUAUAAGUCGAAAAUGCAUUUACUACAGCCUAACCCACUGAACAUUGUAGCUUAGGCUAGCCUACCUUAAAACGUGAUCAGGACACUUCCCUCAGCCUACAUUUGGGCAAAAUCACCUAACACGAAGCCUAUUUUAUAAUAGAGCAUUGAAUAGCUCAAAUAAUUUAUUGAAUACUGUACAUUACAUAGAAUUUGUGACAGUUUUACACCAUCAUUAUGUCAAAAAAUCAUUAAGUUGAGCCACCAUAACUCAGGGACUGUCUGUAUUUAUAUUUUUACUUCACACUAAGCUUUGAAACUGAAAUUUUUGCUCCUCAGCAGAUGGGGUUUCUGAGAAAGACCAAAUUAGUUAUAGAGCACUAGCUCCCAAAAAAAAAAAAAAAAAAAAACAGAAGAAGUCAGAGGAGGAGGGCAACAUGGAGCAGAGGAAGAAGGAGAGAAAAAGCAAGAAACCAUUAUCGCUCCCUCAUCUGAACUGCACUGCGAGUAAGCUGGGGCUUCCACCACAGUGUCCUGGAAGCCAUGUUUGCUGCCCAUUUCUGGACUCUCCAGCCACACUGGCCUCCUUUCCCUUUCUCAAACCUGCUGUGGUUCCUGCCACUUCAAGAUAAUCUCUUAACAAUCUAUUCCUUCUGCCUGGAAUGCUCUUCCUCCCACCCAACCCCGCUCUGCCCAGCUAACUCCAUUCUUUGGCCCCUGCAUCACUUUCCCAAGGAAGCCAUUUCUGGACUUCCCUGACCCCUGCCUUCCAUCUUCACUGGCCCAGAGUUCCCUACCCUAUGGUCUCAUUGCUCCCUCCCAGGCACUGCUGCCUCCCAGGACUCUUCCCUGUCGGUAAUAUAGUUCUGUUUGAUUGUUCAGUUAAUUUUGCCUCCCCUGAAGACCAUAAGCCAUGUUGGCAAUGAUGGUUUUGCUCACCAUUGCACCUCCAGUGUCUAAAAACCAUGGGCAGGUCAAUUCAUUUUUGUUGAGUAAAGGAAUUGUUCAAUAAGUGCACAAAUAAAUUCACAUUAAAACUUGUCC
rnacentral:lncRNA from 1 species